UUCUCUGAGGCUGGGCCAAGAUCUUGAUUCUGCCUGGCUUGUCCACGACCCAGUUGACGUUGUGGCAUUCUGAUUUAUCAGCUGUUCCUUUGAAACCGGUUGGUGGUGGAGAAAGAACCAAAGGAUAAAUGUGUUCAGCUAAUCUGUGAGUGCAAUAAAGAGCAAUAUCAUGUUCUUCUAGGGCCUGAGAAAGAUAAGGAAGAAUCGUGGAAACAAAGGAGUGCACAGAACAAAAGGACCAGACAGUAAUGAAGACAAGACAAGUAGCCCAAGUGGCCUCUCGGAAUGCCUCUGCUUCAGUUUCCUCAAAAAUUGCAUCCAGAACAACUUCAAAGCUGCUAAAUGAGAUAUUCCAGCCUCACAGACUCUUCCAUCUAGGGCUUCAGGUAAGUCAUGUACCUUCCUAUCACUCAGAGACUGGGCAAAAAAUGACACAGCUCUCCCAGAACUUGACCGUUAUCUCAAUUUUGUCAGGGACCCCUAACAAUUCUGUCACUCCCAGACAACAAGAAGUAAUUUUAAGAGCAAGAAGCUCACAUUUCCAAGAGGUGGGGCAUCUUCUGAUUGACUUAAUAAGGAGCUGAAUGGCCAGAAUAGCUAGGCAGGUGAGGAUUGUCAGGACUUCUGGGGAGAGAGAGAAACUGGGGUGGUGGGGGAAGAAUCUGAGAGAUGCCCCAGUCAGACAUAGAGGAAGUGGAUGCAUGGUACUGAGCAGAGGUAAUGAGCCAUGUGGCAGAACAUAGAUUAAUAUAGAUGGAUUAAUUUACAUUUUAAGAGCUAGUUGGGAACAAG